GGCGGGGUAGCUCAGCCUGGUAGAGCGCUAGACUCAUGAUCUAGAGAUCGCGAGUUCAAAUCUCGCCCCCGUCA
rnacentral:tRNA from 1 species